rnacentral:rRNA from 1 species
ACGAGUUUGAUCAUGGCUCAGAUUGAACGCUGGCGGCAUGCUUUACACAUGCAAGUCGAACGGUAGACCCGUUCGGGGGUUGAGAGUGGCGAACGGGUGAGUAAUGCAUCGGAACGUGCCUAGUCGGUGGGGGAUAACGUAGCGAAAGUUACGCUAAUACCGCAUACGCACUGAGGUGGAAAGCGGGGGACCGUAAGGCCUCGCGCGAUUGGAGCGGCCGAUGUCGGAUUAGCUAGUUGGUGAGGUAAAGGCUCACCAAGGCGACGAUCCGUAGCGGGUCUGAGAGGAUGAUCCGCCACACUGGGACUGAGACACGGCCCAGACUCCUACGGGAGGCAGCAGUGGGGAAUUUUGGACAAUGGGCGCAAGCCUGAUCCAGCCAUGCCGCGUGCGGGAAGAAGGCCUUCGGGUUGUAAACCGCUUUCGGACAGAAAGAAAUCGCAUGGACUAAUACUCUGUGUGGAUGACGGUACUGUAAGAAGAAGCACCGGCUAACUACGUG